AUUGAACGCUGGCGGCAUGCCUUACACAUGCAAGUCGAACGGUAACAGGUCUUCGGACGCUGACGAGUGGCGAACGGGUGAGUAAUACAUCGGAACGUGCCCAGUCGUGGGGGAUAACUACUCGAAAGAGUAGCUAAUACCGCAUACGAUCUGAGGAUGAAAGCGGGGGACCUUCGGGCCUCGCGCGAUUGGAGCGGCCGAUGGCAGAUUAGGUAGUUGGUGGGAUAACGGCCUACCAAGGCGACGAUCAGUAGCCGGCCUGAGAGGGUGAACGGCCACAUUGGGACUGAGACACGGCCCAA
rnacentral:rRNA from 1 species